UUGUAUUCGAGCAUAAUUGUUUAUUCACUCUUUGAGUGUUGUUGAAUCAUUGUAUUCAUUUAAACUUUUGUUUGUGAAAGUUAGGAGUGACUUAGUGUUAAACAAUACUUAGGUUGUCUUAGAUUCAAGGAGAGUCUAUGCCCUAAAUGACAAAGAAUACUUUUAUAGCUAGGAGUGACAUGACAGAAUGCUUGUUUGUAAUCAAUGUUUUGAUUAGUAGAACCCUUUACAGUUGUUAAAAGAGAAAUGAAUGUAAC
rnacentral:lncRNA from 1 species